GACGAACUGUGCAAACGUUAUUCGGAAUUACUGGGCGUAAAGGGCGCGUAGGCGGCCCGCUAAGUCGAACGUGAAAUCCCCGGGCUCAACCCGGGAACUGCGUCCGAUACUGGUGGGCUCGAAUCCGGGAGAGGGAUGCGGAAUUCCAGGUGUAGCGGUGAAAUGCGUAGAUAUCUGGAGGAACACCGGUGGCGAAGGCGGCAUCCUGGACCGGUAUUGACGCUGAGGCGCGAAAGCCAGGGGAGCAAACGGG
rnacentral:rRNA from 1 species